rnacentral:tRNA from 1 species
GGGGAUUUAGCUCAGUGGUUCCAGCACUUGCCUCAGAAGCACAAGGGCCGGAGUUUGAUUCCUUGUAUCCCCA